ACGCUCGACACCUACGGGAGGCAGCAGUGGGGAAUAUUGCACAAUGGGGGAAACCCUGAUGCAGCAACGCCGCGUGAAGGAAGAAGUAUUUCGGUAUGUAAACUUCUAUCAGCAGGGAAGAAAAAGAUGACGGUACCUGACUAAGAAGAACCGGCUAAAUACGUGCAAGCAGCCGCGGUAAUCUGAGCGGGCUGGCAAGGC
rnacentral:rRNA from 1 species